GGGACAGGUGUUGGGGUAGAGAGGACUGGUGUAGCGGGACAGGUGUUGGGGUAGAGAGGACUGGUGUAGCGGGACAGGUGUUGGGGUAGAGAGGACUGGUGUAGCGGGACAGGUGUUGGGGUAGAGAGGACAGGUGUAGCGGGACAGGUGUUGGGGUAGAGAGGACUGGUGUAGCGGGACAGGUGUUGGGGUAGAGAGGACAGGUGUAGCGGGACAGGUGUUGGGGUAGAGAGGACUGGUGUAGCGGGACAGGUGUUGGGGUAGAGAGGACAGGUGUAGCGGGACAGGUGUUGGGGUAGAGAGGACUGGUGUAGCGGGACAGGUGUUGGGGUAGAGAGGACAG